rnacentral:piRNA from 1 species
UGUAGCAGAUCCAUGCUUUUU